rnacentral:rRNA from 1 species
AGUUUGAUCAUGGCUCAGGAUGAACGCUGGCGGUAUGCUUAACACAUGCAAGUCGAACGGAUGUUUUCGGACAUUAGUGGCGGACGGGUGAGUAACGCGUGAGAAUCUAGCUUCAGGUUGGGGACAACAGUUGGAAACGACUGCUAAUACCGAAUAUGCCGAGAGGUGAAAGAUUAAUUGCCUGAAGAAGAGCUCGCGUCUGAUUAGCUAGUUGGUGGGGUAAGAGCUUACCAAGGCGACGAUCGGUAGCUGGUCUGAGAGGACGAUCAGCCACACUGGGACUGAGACACGGCCCAGACUCCUACGGGAGGCAGCAGUGGGGAAUUUUCCGCAAUGGGCGAAAGCCUGACGGAGCAAUACCGCGUGAGGGAAGAAGGCUCUUGGGUUGUAAACCUCUUUUCUUAGGGAAGAAAAAAAUGACGGUACCUAAGGAAUAAGCAUCGGCUAACUCCGUGCCAGCAGCCGCGGUAAUACGGAGGAUGCAAGCGUUAUCCGGAAUGAUUGGGCGUAAAGCGUCCGCAGGUGGUUUAUCAAGUUUGCGGUUAAAGGUUCUGGCUCAACCAGAGACAGGCCGUGAAAACUGAUAGACUAGAGUAUGGUAGGGGCAGAGGGAAUUCCCAGUGUAGCGGUGAAAUGCGUAGAGAUUGGGAAGAACACCGGUGGCGAAAGCGCUCUGCUAGGCCAAAACUGACACUGAGGGACGAAAGCUAGGGGAGCGAAUGGGAUUAGAUACCCCAGUAGUCCUAGCCGUAAACGAUGGAUACUAGGUGUAGCUUG